CACUAAGCUGCGCUCACAAGUCUCCAGGGACCUCCACACAGAACUCAUUGGCCUUGGCCCAACUGUCUUAACAUAAAUAACCCCCAGGUUGACGGCACACGUCUUACAGAGCACAUCCAAUGGAGAGCCUAGAAGCAAACUGUCCUUCUGGAAAUUGCAUUAAGGCUUCACACUUUUCCUGGGGCCUCUGGGCAGCCUUCCAGACCCCAUCCCCAGGACUGACUGAGUUCCUGAGAUAGGAAAUGCAACCCGAGACGUGUGAAGAAAAAAACAGUGUGCUUAUUGUCACGGCCUCCACUCCUCGCUGGGCUCCCAGGCCGCCGGCCGGGUGCUCUGGGGUGUCUGCCCCGCCGCAGAGAAGAAUAAACCCAGACUCCAAUCAUAGGAAAUUCAUCAAAUGUGCUUCUCAGAGCUCUGUCUUUCAAGGUCUGCUUUCCUGCCAUAUGAUCUCUAUAAACCGAAUCACUGUGAGCCAGGGCACAGGACCAGAGGCGCCUGAGGCUCGCGGAUAAUGAAUGCCAAAUGCAUGUGACAAUGGACUGAUCAGGGAGCAGAAUGGAAAUGUCUGAGCUGUGCUUUUCUAUAUGUAUAUACACACACAUACAUGCAUACGUGCAUGUAUGCACCAGCGCACACACACUCACACACACACACGCACAAGUCAAGCACACAGUACGUCUUAACAAAGGCCAACUGUGAUCCUUGCUGCCAGACUCAGUUAACACACUUCUCAGUAACUCUGUUAAAUUAUCAGGACAAAGAAGGAUACAAUGAAAGAGAAAAAAGUAUCAGAUCCCAGUUUAGCUGGGGACACUCGACAUGGAAGGAUCACGGAUUUGACGUAGAAAUUCAGAACGCCUUUUGCUCAGGGAUGAGCAUGGGAGCCAACACACCGGGGAACCUCAACUGAAAAAUGAAAAUCAACCACUCAUUCUGGGCACCAGUGGUAAACGGGAGGAAUUGCGCUCCAUUGAAUGACUUAUUGUACGAUGACCCGAUAAUGGUUUCUACCCCUCCUGGGUCUGACCAGCCCCUUCACUCGAUAACCAGUUACCCGUGUGGCCAGGUAAGAGAAGAGAACACAAGACAGAAAAUAGCAGGCCACCAACUAAAGGCAAAAAGGUAAUUAAUGUUAUAGCCUUUUAGAUUCUAGAAAAUACUGCACUUAAAACUGCAAGUCAACUCAGCGGCUGUCUGCAACCGAUAAAUGCUUCCAUAUUCACAGGCAUCAGCAAUCUUCCUCUUACAAAAAAAGUAAUAAUACAUACAUAUUAAUGGAUCACAUUUUGUCCUUUGGGGAGCAUAAUUUUUAAAAGGGCCAAGGCAGCAAUAAUAGUUCCUUUAAAAAUUCUAAAUGCUGUAAUUGUUUUCUCUGAAUUAUGGUGCUAGGAUUUAAUUAGUGAUGAAUGUUCGGUAUGGGGUUUGGUCAUUUUUGAUGAAUUCAGCCAAACAGAAAAGUAGUCUUGUCCUCCUUGCUCCCUCCCCGUCCCCCACCCCCUUCCUUCCCUAGGACCUUGAAAUGCGCGAGCGCCUGAGAACAUGUCCACGUGGGCAUUUUCUUUCCUGUAGUUUGGCCGGAGUUAAGAGGGAGAUGGCUUCAACCACAGUUCAACGAGGAACACGAAACAUGGUCAGUGAGGUCAUGCAAUUCAGCACAA